rnacentral:rRNA from 1 species
UACGGAGGGUGCUAGCGUUGUUCGGAAUCACUGGGCGUAAAGCGCGUGUAGGCGGCUUUGCAAGUCGGGUGUGAAAGCCCUCAGCUCAACUGAGGAAGUGCGCCCGAAACUGCAGAGCUUGAGUGCCGGAGAGGGUGGCGGAAUUCCCCAAGUAGAGGUGAAAUUCGUAGAUAUUGGGAGGAACACCGGUGGCGAAGGCGGCCAUCUGGGAAGGUACUGACGCUGAGACGCGAAAGCGUGGGGAGCAAACAGG